UACGUAGGGGGCAAGCGUUGUCCGGAAUUAUUGGGCGUAAAGAGCGCGUAGGCGGUCCGAUAAGUCGGCUGUGAAAGUCAAGGGCUCAACCCUUGGAAGCCGGCCGAUACUGUCGGACUAGAGUCCGGAAGAGGCGAGUGGAAUUCCCGGUGUAGCGGUGAAAAUGCGCAGAUAUCGGGAGGAACACCAAUUGCGAAGGCAGCUCGCUGGGACGGUACUGACGCUGACGGCGCGAAAGCGUGGGAGCAAAC
rnacentral:rRNA from 1 species